ensembl:lncRNA
UUAUGCUGAGAAAUAUAAAAAUGCUACAUGUAACAGUCUUAAAGAUUUAGCUGAGUUACAUACAAGAAACAUUUAAAUGACUGGAUUUGACAUAACUGAGAAUAGCAAAAUACAUUUAGUCAAGUCUGGGGCAUCCCAGCUCAGUGGGUGAUGUUUUUAGUGGGUAUACAGUGGGUAACUGGAACAUGAGGUACAUGCCUGCAACAAGGGGCUUGUGGAUUUGAACGCGAAUUAUUACAGAGAAAUUGACAAUCAAUACUCUGGCAUCAGCUCUGGUGUACAUUUCCACAGUCAAAAUGCCAAAUGCUCCCAAUUGAAAAGCUAACCAAGAAAAACCUUCAUGGCAAAAGGAGCUGGAACAGUAACGGAAAAGGCAGAGAUGAAUUACUUACAGCUCACAAUCCAUUUCAGCAUGAGUACAGGUGCCUGAUGUUUCAGUAUGAGAACAGGUGCCUGAUGUUUCAGCAUGAGAACAGGUGCCUGAUGUUUCAGCAUGAGAACAGGUGCCUGAUGUUUCAACAUGAGAACAGGUGCCUGAUGUUUCAGCAUGAGAACAGUUGCCUGAUGUUUCAACAUGAGAACAGGUGCCUGAUGUUUCAACAUGAGAACAGGUGCCUGAUGUUUCAGCAUAAGAACAUGUGCCUGAUAUUUCAACAUGAAUACAGGUGCCUGAUGUUUCAGCACUGAGCACAGGUGCCUGAUGUUUCAGCAUAAGAACAUGUGCCUGAUAUUUCAACAUGAAUACAGGUGCCUGAUGUUUCAGCACUGAGCACAGGUGCCUGAUGUUUCAGCAUAAGAACAGGUGCCUGAUGUUUCAGCAUAAAAACAUGUGCCUGAUAUUUCAACAUGAAUACAGGUGCCUGAUGUUUCAGCACUGAGCACAGGUGCCUGAUGUUUCAGCAUAAGAACAUGUGCCUGAUAUUUCAACAUGAAUACAGGUGCCUGAUGUUUCAACAUGAGCACAAGUGCCUGAUGUUUCAGCAUAAGAACAUGUGCCUGAUGUUUCAGCACUGAGCUGGCAUCUCCUUCAGAGUAACCUGACCGUUGCACGGUACUCCUAUUUAAAAUUUAGAGGACUAUUCAGACACAAUUUUGUUUUACAUUGGAAAAGUUAGAUGAUUUUUUCCCAGUUGAUAUGGUCAGUUUUUAUCUUCAUGUGGGAAGAUGAUAUUUGAUAAACAAUUUUACAUUUCAGCUAAUGUAUUAUAUGACCAACUAGUGAUGUUGACCGGAGGUAUUGGCACUUUCUCAAAUAACUUUGUCUUUAAAAGUAAGUUUAAGUGGACCGAAGUAUUUAAUCUCCACAAUUCUUAUUUCACUGCUAAUAUUACAGAAACUUUGUUUAUAUUGUUUUAUAUCAAAAAAUAAACUUGAAUGGCACAGACAAAAUUGAAAUGCUAAGCUCAGUGUGUUGUAGCACUGCUUUUUGCAAACAAACAGUUUG